rnacentral:rRNA from 1 species
GUCCUAGCUGUAAACGAUGGGCACUAGGUGUGGGGGGAGUCGACCCCUUCCCGUGCCGCAGUUAACGCAUUAAGUGCCCCGCCCUGGGGAGGUACGACCGCAAGGUUGAAACUCAAAGGAAUUGACGGGGGCCCGCACAAGCGGUGGAGCAUGUGGUUUAAUUCGAUGAUACGCGAAGAACCUUACCGGGGCUUGACAUGCAGCAGAACAUUAGUGGAAACACAAAUGGUCCCUCACGGGACUGUUGCACAGGUGCUGCAUGGCUGUCGU